rnacentral:lncRNA from 1 species
UUGUUAGCAAAACCAUCUCUUGAGUGGAGCUCAAAGAUUUGUAAUUUCCCAAUCCCCAGAAAGAUAACUUCAGACUCAGCUUAGAAGUAAAGAUCCUCCAGAUAUGGCCUCAACUACCCUCCAACCCAUGUCCCCAGUGCAUCCCGUUGAUGCCCCCUUCAGUGGAGUUAAAAUGGAGUGAGUGUUUUUCUUUUCACAUACUCCUGGUGUUCUUCCACAAAUACAAUUUUCACCUCUUGAAUAUUUUCAAGGAUUCUCCAUGCUACACACAGAGAAAUCCAAACUCCCCAUCAGGACCCCAGUCUUCCCAAACCCUCUUUGCACUUUUCUGCCUCCAUGCUUUUCCUUGGGUCAUCCUCUUCUCUAAUAUAACCUUGUGUAUUAUUCUAGGUUCUCCAGAGAAAGAGCAGAGAGAUAGAGGUAGAGAUAUACACAUAGAGAGAGACAGAUUGAUUUGUUGUAAGGGAUGGCUCACCUGGUUAUGGAAGCUAAGGAGUCCUGGAGUCUGCAGCCAGCAAGCUGGAGACCCAGGACAGCCAAUGAUAUAGUUCCAACUCGAGUCCACAUGUAAAGUCAGGAGAAGAUUGAUGUCCCAGCUCAAAUAUAAUCAGGUAAAAAGAGCAAAUUCUCUGUGAUUCUACCUUUUUGUUUUGUUCAGGCCUUCAAUGGAUUGGAUGAGGCUCACCCACAUUGGGGAGGACAAUCUGCUUUAUUCACUCUACCAAUUAAAUGUUAUCCUCAUCCAGAAUACCUCAGAGACACACCCAGAAUAAUGUGUAGCCAAAUAUCUGGGCACCCCACAACCCAGUCAAAUUGAUACAUAACACUAACCAUCAUGUCUUGCUUCUACUCUCUCGCCAUUUCUGCAUGGCCAAAUCUUUCCCUUAUUUCAAGGCUUAGUUCAAAUGUUACCUCUUAACUAAGCCUUCCCUGCUAACCCCAAAUAUUAAUAGAAUUGGUUUCUCCCUUCUCUGAUGUCUCAAAAUAUAUUGUGUUUCUCUUUUAUUGUAUUUAUUACAAACUCCCUUACAAAUCAAGACAGUGAUUCCCAGACAAAUUAUCACAAGAGUAUAAAAGAAGUCUUCUUUGAGUGUGAAAUAUCUCAUGGAAUAUAGCACAUGGCCUCUUCAUGAAGAAACUACUGGGAGAGAAGAAGAUAAGCUGGAAGAGGCCAGGGAAAGGGGGUUAGUACAAAGCACAAUGGGGCUGGGCUCAUACAGUGGCUCACACCUGUAAUCCCAGCACUUUGGGAGCCCAAGGCCGGUGGAUCAAGAGAUCAGCAGAUCGAGACCAUCCUGGCUAACACGGUGAAACCCCGUCUCUACUAAAAAUACAAAAAAGUUAGCCAGGCAUGGAGGUGGGCGCCUGUAGUCCCAGCUACUCGGGAGGCUGAGGAAGGAGAAUGGUGUGAACCCGGGAGGCAGAGCUUGCAGUGAGCCGAGAUUGCACCACAGCACUCAAGCCUGGGUGACAGAGCAAGACUCCAUCUCAAAAAAUAAAACAAAAUAAAAUAAAGCACAAUGAAAUGUCAGUGGAUGGGUGCCUAUAAUUUCUAAGGGAAAUAGAGUAUAAUCCAAGAAUUUUAUAGCCAGCUAAAUUAUUGCCCAAUCAAAAUAGGCAAAAGACACAUGCUGAAGAACUUAAAGAAUACAGUAUUUCUGAGCUCUUUAAAAAAAAGUCUUCAUAAUAAAAUUUAGUCAGCCAAGAAAUUAAAAAAUAAGCAACUUGUGAAUUGAAUGACCAUGACAAAAGGCUAGUGAUAGGACUAUGAUUGCAGAACAGAAAGAGAAGGUGGUCAACCUUAACAACAUAAAACAACCUAGAAAUAACUAGUUUCCAGAGGUAAAGAGAGGGACUGUAGGAAGUAGAAAUGUUAAUGCCCUUUAUUAAGUCAAUUAAUCAGGUCUAAAAUUGAAACGUGAUUUUAAAUAUAUAACUUCUUGUUUAUUUUCCUCCCUAACUACCUGAGGAUCAACCACCAACAUGAAUGACACAGUGACUACCUGGACCAGGAAGUUUAUGACCAAUCGACCGUUCCAGAGGAAACAAAUGGUCACCAAUGUCCUUCACCCCGGAAAGGCAACAAAAUGUACAAGACCACAAUGGAUGUCAUCUUCAUAUUAAUAGUUGGACUCAGAACCCAUUUUGGUGGUGGUUAAACAAUCGUCACCCACAUUGGAGUGCAGUGGUACGAUCUCAGCUCACCAAAUCUCUGCCUCCCAGGCUUAAGCAAUUCUCCUGCCUCAGCCUCCCCCGCAGCUAGGAUUACAGGCACGCACCACUACUGCCUGGCUAAUUUUUAUGUUUUUAGUAGAGAUGGGGUUUCACCUUGUUGGCCAGGCUGGUCUUGAACUCCUGACCUCAAAUGAUCCACCCGCCUUGGCCUCCCAAAGUGCUAAGAUUACAGGCAUGGGUCACUGUGCCCAGCCUUUUCUGUAUUAAAUUUUUAAAAACACAACAUUUAAAAUAAUCAAGUCAUUCUUUUUGAAUCUACUUUGUAUUAUAGGUAUCCAAAUACUCACCUAUUCUCUCUCACAUGAUGACAAACUCGUUGAAAUGUCAUUUCAUUUUGUGGCUCCAGCCCCAGGGAUUCUGAGUCUGAUUCUAAAGGGCCUGCAUGCAGAGCAAGCAAGCCGCCUGGAUGAUUCUCUUACAGGUGUUUUAAGGGCAUCAGUUUGAGACACCCUGAUGCAAAAGAACGAACCCUCAAGGAAGUUGGCUGUACAUGUAUUUUCCUUCCUAGCACAGGAAAAGACAGAAAGAUUAUCCAAUCAGUACCACUCAUAGCACCUGAUUAUAUAUGUAUGAGGAAUUCAGAAAUGGUUUGAUCAAGGUUGAAGACCUAAAAAGUAGCUUUUCUCUCGGACACCAAGUCCCCAUCUCAUGCGUGGUUGAGUUAGUAGAAUCUGAGGAUGAUGCUUCUUCCUCCAGGAUUGGUAUCCUAUGGUUUUUGUUGUUCAGUAAAUGAAGUACCUCCAUCCCCC